UAGUCCACGCCCUAAACGAUGUCAACUAGUUGUUGGUGGAGUAAAAUCCAUGAGUAACGUAGCUAACGCGUGAAGUUGACCGCCUGGGGAGUACGGUCGCAAGAUUAAAACUCAAAUGAAUUGACGGGGGCCCGCACAAGCGGUGGAUUAUGUGGAUUAAUUCGAUGCAACGCGAAAACCUUACCUGGCCUUGACAUGUACGGAACUUUCCAGAGAUGGAUUGGUGCUCGUAAGAGAGCCGUAACACAGGUGCUGCAUGGCUGUCGUCAGCUCGUGUCGUGAGAUGUUGGGUUAAGUCCCGCAACGAGCGCAACCCUUGCCAAUAAUUGCCAUCUUUAAGUUGGGCACUUUAUUGGGACUGCCGAUGACAAAUCGGAGGAAGGUGGGGAUGACGUCAAGUCCUCAUGGCCCUUAUGGCCAGGGCUUCACACGUAAUACAAUGGUCGGUACAGAGGGUAGCCAAGCCGCGAGGUGGAGCCAAUCUCAGAAAGCCGAUCGUAGUCCGGAUUG
rnacentral:rRNA from 1 species